rnacentral:rRNA from 1 species
AUUGAACGCUGGCGGCAGGCCUAACACAUGCAAGUCGAGCGGAUGAUGGGAGCUUGCUCCUGGAUUCAGCGGCGGACGGGUGAGUAAUGCCUAGGAAUCUGCCUGGUAGUGGGGGACAACGUUUCGAAAGGAACGCUAAUACCGCAUACGUCCUACGGGAGAAAGCAGGGGACCUUCGGGCCUUGCGCUAUCAGAUGAGCCUAGGUCGGAUUAGCUAGUAGGUGAGGUAAAGGCUCACCUAGGCGACGAUCCGUAACUGGUCUGAGAGGAUGAUCAGUCACACUGGAACUGAGACACGGUCCAGACUCCUACGGGAGGCAGCAGUGGGGAAUAUUGGACAAUGGGCGAAAGCCUGAUCCAGCCAUGCCGCGUGUGUGAAGAAGGUCUUCGGAUUGUAAAGCACUUUAAGUUGGGAGGAAGGGCAGUAAGUUAAUACCUUGCUGUUUUGACGUUACCGACGGAAUAAGCACCGGCUAACUUCGUGCCAGCAGCCGCCGUAAGAC